CAAAGACAAAAACACUAGUGACAGGUGACACUAGAAAAUGUGUGCUGGAGAAAACUGUGUCCAGGUCGUGUGCCAGGCCUAAUGGGCAAGCCUAGCUAAAGAUAUUCAGCCAGAUACUGACCUCUACCUCAGACACAUAGAGAUGUUUCUUUGGGCCCUGGCAAGACUGGGAGGAGUGUCGCAACGGCGUUCAGCGCAAACAGCGGGAAGUUCUUCAAGGG